rnacentral:rRNA from 1 species
GAUGAACGCUGGCGGCGUGCCUAAUACAUGCAAGUCGAGCGAACGGACGAGAAGCUUGCUUCUCUGAUGUUAGCGGCGGACGGGUGAGUAACACGUGGAUAACCUACCUAUAAGACUGGGAUAACUUCGGGAAACCGUAGCUAAUACCGGAUAAUAUUUUGAACCGCAUGGUUCAAAAGUGAAAGACGGUCUUGCUGUCACUUAUAGAUGGAUCCGCGCUGCAUUUGCUAGUUGGUAAGGUAACGGCUUACCAAGGCAACGAUGCAUAGCCGACCUGAGAGGGUGAUCGGCCACACUGGAACUGAGACACGGUCCAGACUCCUACGGGAGGCAGCAGUAGGGAAUCUUCCGCAAUGGGCGAAAGCCUGACGGAGCAACGCCGCGUGAGUGAUGAAGGUCUUCGGAUCGUAAAACUCUGUUAUUAGGGAAGAACAUAUGUGUAAGUAACUGUGCACAUCUUGACGGUACCUAAUCAGAAAGCCACGGCUAACUACGUG